AUCGGCAUUGCUGAUGAGCGCUGGAAAAUCUCUGCCGCUCGCAAUUGGCCGGCAUCGCUUUAUGCUUUUGACCACGGAUGUACUGGCACAGGUAGACAAGCGAUGAUGAGGAAGGUCGGUGCGGUUUCGCCCCGGCCUUUUUUGUU
rnacentral:sRNA from 1 species